rnacentral:rRNA from 1 species
GAUGAACGCUAGCUACAGGCUUAACACAUGCAAGUCGCGGGGCAGCAUGGGGGUUGCUUGCAAUCCCCGAAGGCGACCGGCGCACGGGUGAGUAACGCGUAUCCAACCUGCCCUUCACCACGGGAUAACCCGGCGAAAGUCGGACUAAUACCGUAUGUUGUCCAUUGACGGCAUCCGAUUUGGACGAAAGGUUUGGCGGUGAAGGAUGGGGAUGCGUCCGAUUAGCUGGACGGCGGGGUGACGGCCCACCGUGGCGACGAUCGGUAGGGGUUCUGAGAGGAAGGUCCCCCACACUGGAACUGAGACACGGUCCAGACUCCUACGGGAGGCAGCAGUGAGGAAUAGUGGUCAAUGGGCGUAAGCCUGAACCAGCCAAGUAGCGUGCAGGAUGACGGCCCUAUGGGUGGUAAACUGCUUUUAUGCGGGGAUAAAGUGGCCCACGUGUGGGUUUUUGCAGGUACCGCAUGAAUAAGGACCGGCUAAUUCCGUG